AAAUUGAAGAGUUUGAUCAUGGCUCAGAUUGAACGCUGGCGGCAGGCCUAACACAUGCAAGUCGAACGGUAACAGGAAACAGCUUGCUGUUUCGCUGACGAGUGGCGGACGGGUGAGUAAUGUCUGGGAAACUGCCUGAUGGAGGGGGAUAACUACUGGAAACGGUAGCUAAUACCGCAUAACGUCGCAAGACCAAAGAGGGGGACCUUCGGGCCUCUUGCCAUCGGAUGUGCCCAGAUGGGAUUAGCUAGUAGGUGGGGUAACGGCUCACCUAGGCGACGAUCCCUAGCUGGUCUGAGAGGAUGACCAGCCACACUGGAACUGAGACACG
rnacentral:rRNA from 1 species